GAUGAACGCUGGCGGCGUGCCUAAUACAUGCAAGUCGAGCGAACAGACGAGGAGCUUGCUCCUCUGACGUUAGCGGCGGACGGGUGAGUAACACGUGGAUAACCUACCUAUAAGGCUGGGAUAACUUCGGGAAACCGGAGCUAAUACCGGAUAAUAUAUUGAACCGCAUGGUUCAAUAGUGAAAGACGGUUUUGCUGUCACUUAUAGAUGGAUCCGCGCCGCAUUAGCUAGUUGGUAAGGUAACGGCUUACCAAGGCAACGAUGCGUAGCCGACCUGAGAGAGUGAUCGGCCACACUGGAACUGAGACACGGUCCAGACUCCUACGGGAGGCAGCAGUAGGGAAUCUUCCGCAAUGGGCGAAAGCCUGACGGAGCAACGCCGCGUGAGUGAUGAAGGUCUUCGGAUCGUAAAACUCUGUUAUUAGGGAAGAACAAAUGUGUAAGUAACUAUGCACGUCUUGACGGUACCUAAUCAGAAAGCCACGGCUAACUACGUG
rnacentral:rRNA from 1 species